AUUGAACGCUGGCGGCAGGCCUAACACAUGCAAGUCGAACGAGAGGCGGACGGGUGAGUAAUGGCUGGGAAACUGCCUGAUGGAGGGGGAGAACUACUGGAAAAGGUAGCUAAUACCGCAUACCACAAGAUGUGCCAAGAUGGGAUUAGCUUGUUGGUGGGGGCACGGCUCACCAAGGCGACGAUACCUAGCUGGUCUGUGAGGAUGACCAGCCACACUGGAACGGCGACACGGUCCAGCCUCCUACGGGAGUGAGCAGUGGGGAAUAUUGCACAAUGGGCGCAAGCCUGAUGCAGCCAUGCCGCGUGUAUGAAGAAGGCCUUCGGGUUGUAAAGUACUUUCAGCGGGGAGGCGUUACCCGCAGAAGAAGCACCGGCUAACUCCGUGCCAGCAGCCGCGGUAAUUC
rnacentral:rRNA from 1 species